UACGAAGGGCGCGAGCGUUGUCCGGAUUUAUUGGGCGUAAAGAGCUCGUAGGCGGCUUGUUACGUCGACUGUGAAAACCCACGGCUCAACCGUGUGGUCUGCAGUCGAUACGGGCAGGCUAGAAUUCGGUAGGGGAGACUGGAAUUCCUGGUGUAGCGGUGAAAUGCGCAGAUAUCAGGAGGAACACCGGUGGCGAAGGCGGGUCUCUGGGCCGAUAUUGACGCUGAGGAGCGAAAGCGUGGGGAGCGAACAGG
rnacentral:rRNA from 1 species